UUGUGUUGAUCACGUUGAGGUCCACAUCUCCUUUGUGUUGAUCACAUUGAGGUCCACAUCUCCUUUGUGUUGAUCACAUUGAGGUCCACAUCUCCUUUGUGUUGAUCACAUUGAGGGAGAGGUCCACAUCUCCUUUGUG